AACGAACGCUGGCGGCAGGCUUAACACAUGCAAGUCGAGCGCCCCGCAAGGGGAGCGGCAGACGGGUGAGUAACGCGUGGGAAUCUACCCAUCACUACGGAACAACUCCGGGAAACUGGAGCUAAUACCGUAUACGUCCUUCGGGAGAAAGAUUUAUCGGUGAUGGAUGAGCCCGCGUUGGAUUAGCUAGUUGGUGGGGUAAUGGCCUACCAAGGCGACGAUCCAUAGCUGGUCUGAGAGGAUGAUCAGCCACACUGGGACUGAGACACGGCCCAGACUCCUACGGGAGGCAGCAGUGGGGAAUAUUGGACAAUGGGCGAAAGCCUGAUCCAGCCAUGCCGCGUGAGUGAUGAAGGCCCUAGGGUUGUAAAGCUCUUUCGCAGGUGAAGAUAAUGACAGUAACCUGAGAAGAAGCCCCGGCUAACUUCGUGCCAGCCGCCGCAGUAACAC
rnacentral:rRNA from 1 species